CCUACGGGAGGCAGCAGUGGGGAAUUUUGGACAAUGGGCGAAAGCCUGAUCCAGCCAUGCCGCGUGCAGGAUGAAGGCCUUCGGGUUGUAAACUGCUUUUGUACGGAACGAAAAGACUCUGGUUAAUACCUGGGGUCCAUGACGGUACCGUAAGAAUAAGCACCGGCUAACUACGUGCCAGCAGCCGCGGUAAUACGUAGGGUGCGAGCGUUAAUCGGAAUUACUGGGCGUAAAGCGUGCGCAGGCGGUUAUAUAAGACAGAUGUGAAAUCCCCGGGCUCAACCUGGGAACUGCAUUUGUGACUGUAUAGCUAGAGUACGGCAGAGGGGGAUGGAAUUCCGCGUGUAGCAGUGAAAUGCGUAGAUAUGCGGAGGAACACCGAUGGCGAAGGCAAUCCCCUGGGCCUGUACUGACGCUCAUGCACGAAAGCGUGGGGAGCAAACAGGAUUAGAUACCCUGGUAGUCCACGCCCUAAACGAUGUCAACUGGUUGUUGGGUCUUCACUGACUCAGUAACGAAGCUAACGCGUGAAGUUGACCGCCUGGGGAGUACGGCCGCAAGGUUGAAACUCAAAUGAAUUGACGGCUGAGACCGNGCGAGACGACACGAGGGAGGAGG
rnacentral:rRNA from 1 species